UGACAGUUUCCAAGACUUGGGGUUUGUGACGUUAAGCCUGAAACCCUACUAAAAUAGUCUGUUAGGAUGCCCCACCCAAACUUGCCCCAUCCCAGGAGCUACAUUCUAAAGGACCAGUAGAGGUGCCAAGCCUGACGAUGCAACCCCAGGAUGAACAUGAAGGAAGGAGAGAACCUACUCUUGUGAGCUGGCCUCUGGCCCUACAUGUGCGUAGUGAUGAGCGCACACCACACAGGCUUCUUGGUGUUGACUAUGGCUUGUAGAAAUGUCCCUUUUGGGCUGGAGAGAUGGCUCAAAGGUUAAAAGCACUGGCUGCUCUUCCAGAGGACCUGAGUUCAAUCCCCAGCAACCACAUGGUGGCUCACAGCCAUCUAUAAUGAGAUCUGGUGCCCUCUUCUGACAUGCAGAUUGAACAGUGUAUGCAUAAUAAAUAAAUCUUAA
rnacentral:lncRNA from 1 species